AGUUACCAGCACGUUAUGGUGGGCACUCUAAGGAGGACUGCCGGUGGACAAACCGGAGGAAGGUGGGGAUGACGUCAAGUCAUCAUGGCCCUUACGGCCUGGGCUACACACGUGCCACAAUGGUCGGUACAAAGGGUUGCCAAGCCGCGAGGUGGAGCUAAUCCCAUAAAACCGAUCGUAGUCCGGAUCGCAGUCUGCAACUCGACUGCGUGAAGUCGGAAUCGCUAGUAAUCGUGAAUCAGAAUGUCACGGUGAAUACGUUCCCGGGCCUU
rnacentral:rRNA from 1 species